rnacentral:lncRNA from 1 species
CUGGGGCAUAAGCAGAGACCCUUGGAGGCUCCAUGAGUCUUAGUUCAAAGCAGACCAUCAGAGAACUAGGAAGGAGGGCUUGGGAGGCCAGUUCCCAGAGGAAGGUGUGAGGGAGGGAAGCCGUAAGGAGAACGAGGGGGCACUGGUGCUGGGGAUGCCCUGAGCCCCGUGGAGGGAGGCAAGGAGGAGCUGCCAGUCAUCACCUGUCACAGGAGCCACGUGGGUGGCAGGAGGCAGUCCUCUCACGCCCAGGCCCUGUCUCACACCUGAGGGCAGAGCCCACGGCCAGGAUAAAAGGGCCCUGGGGCAGAGCACCUCCAUCCACUCCUCUCCUGAGGUGCUGACGACUCUGUGCUGUGUGUGCACCGCUCUUGAACCCGUCCACCGAGAUGUCCUGCCAGCAGAACCAGCAGCAGUGCCAGCCCCCUCCC